UCCCCGGUGGCUCAGAUGGUAAAGAAUCUGCCUGCAAUGCAGGAGACCUGGGUUCGAUUCCUGGGUCGGGAA
rnacentral:tRNA from 1 species